CUCGGGUGUUUUCUUUCAAUAACCAACAACAGGCUCUCCUAAAUCACAGUCAAAAAGCAAUGUGUGUGUAAAAAUUAGGAUUGAACAGUUACCUCCACACACGUUCAACUUUUUUAUUUUUUGUCUGGCUAAAAAAAGUUGCAUCAAAGCACUCCACAUGCAAUACCUCGGGGUGUCUACGUUUCAAGUAUGUACCCUUUCAUGGCAAUAUAUAAAACUGGGGUAUGUGAUAAGCCCCAAGCUAAAGAUAGGCCUAUCAGAAGAAAUACUCUCAAUUUCAACUCAAAUUGCAAG